UAAUAACACCUGUGCGUGGCGAGGCAGCUUUUCAGCAGCUAUUGUCACAGCGUUCUCAUCUGUGCAGUGCUGAGCUGCUGCUGCAUGGCCCCCACGGAACUGCUCAAGCAGGAGCCAUCCUCGGAGGGCACAUAAUUAACAGGUGAUGCAAAACAAUAUGCUGUUAAAAAAAUAUGAGCGACAAGCCUUCUUACUAGGGGGAUGCUCAGGGAUGCGCAGGCGAUGCCUUUGCCAUGCCUCUAUGGGAGUGGUGCCUGCAGGCAUCCGAGGGGCAGUGCAUUUUGGCUUCUGUGUCAGCUCUGCAUCUCAAUCCUUGGUGGGCACCCACCUCCUUUAGACCUGGGAAGCUCAGGUGGGGCCCAAAUCCAUCUCCCCAUUGGGUGAAGGAAUGAAGUCCUGUUCCCAGAUGGUGGAGCGGUUUGGCCAAGGAAUAGAAGAGCAGCACAGCAAACAUCUCCAUGUCCAGCCCUGUGUGAUGCAGCUCUGCAGAGCCCCGUGUAACCCGGGGUAUUUAUGCAGAACCCUCCAGGCACUUCCCUUCAGCUCAGCCAGUUCGUUCAGGCUUCGAAUUUCCCUCAUCUCUCAGAGUACAUUAAAAAAAUCAAUGUAAUUACACAGCAAACAUUAAUUAUGAUCAAAAAUGCAGCUGAGAGGGAUUGAUCUGGAGGAGAUCGCAAGGCUGUAGCUAGCCACAGAACUGCCAAAAAAUCAGCUCAACGAGGCUGAGGCCACGGGGAUGUGUGGCCUGUCUGAACAGCAAGGCGUCCUUGGAGACACCUGGAUUGUGGUUUCUGUCUCUGAUUUCUCUUAUGGCAGGCACAGGGAUGGGCAAGCACCAUAGGGAUGGAGCAGCUUCCUGGUCACCACAGCCACAUCAGUGAGGCCUGUGUGUGAUGAGCUGCCCCGUUGCCCCCUUGGGGCUUGCGUGGGGACAUGCAGCACCAGAUGUUAAUGGCACUGCGUGGGGACAGCAAAACCUGGACUAAGAGACUGGAGUCCAUCAGCCAGGCGGAAGGCGAAGCGGCCGAGCUUCAGCUGCACACACAGCAGGAGGGAGGGGGAACGCGCCGGGAGCGAGAUGCAAACAGACCCAGGGAGGGGGAAAGCAGAGGCGUCAUGGAAGGGCUGGAAGAGAAAAUGGUUUCCUUGGGAAGAGGCUGGCGAGUCUCAGCUGGAAAGGGACAGCAAGGGAGAGAUGAGAGAGCUGCUCUGGGUUGGAGAGAGAAGAGGAGCACGGUUUGGGUAAAGCUGAGCUCACCCUGGCCCUUGACAUGGUAAUGAUGCAGACACAGACGUGUGAUAAGCCCUGCUCUGCACACACUUUAAAAUCUAAGUAGCUUAUGAAUAAGUAAUAAUCCCUAUUCCCAGUGCCAUAAUCUAUAUUUAAUUAAGAAAAUAACUAAAUGGCGGGAGUAAAAGGGGCUGCGUGGGGAAAUGGAGACAGAAGCACUAUGAGAUAAGCUCUGGUGGGAACGAGGACAAAAGGCCAACUCAGCAUGGUCGUGGUGGCAUGGUGGGGCUGCUGGGCUGGGCACAGGGUGACCUGCAGGAGGAGGUCUGCCCCAGCGACUGCCAGGGUCAGCACUGAGCUGAAUGCUGAGCAGCUGCACUGUUGGUCUGCUGUGUGACUUCGUGUUCCCUCCUGCUCGAUUCUGGUGCUGAUGGUGGGCUGCAUGGAAAGUGAUGCUCCAACGUGCCCAAGCACUGUUUGACAGUACCCAAAUCACAGCCUUUGAUACUGUUACAACAUGCUGCUUGGUGCCUGUGAUAAAGCAUUCUUGGCAGGAUGCUCCAAAUGUCUUGCACUGACACAGAAAAGCGAACCCUGCCAGAAUAACCCGUGCUGAAAUGGGAAGAGAGCAUUCUAGGUGAUGCCAAGGGCAGCUCUGAUCAACCUCUACUUUGGACAGGAGCAGAGCGUGGUUCCAAAGGUACCUCCAUCCAGGGACUCUACAGGACCCUUUCACCACCAACAAAAGCUCUUUGUAGCUAAAGCCCCACACCUUUCCCACCCAGCAUGUUGCACCAAGGCUGCAAAGUGUGGCUGCAGCCCUGCUCACUUAGCUGUGCUUCUUAUUUCCCCAGUGGGGAUCUGCAGUCACCUCCGCUCCUUUGGUUGUCAAUAGUGAAACUGAGAGCACACCUUUAGGGCUCGGUCAAAGAAAAGAAAAAAAAAAAACAAUCUCAAUCCACAUGCUAUACUUUAUAAAUAGGCCAUCUGGUUUUUAAAUUGAAAAACAACAAUAAUCACUGCUGAGAGCCCGCUGAACAAAAGCAGCCUUAUUGCCACUGGGACAGAUUCAUUCUCACCAACAGAAACAGACAUAUUUUUCAAGCUGCUCUUGAGCUCCUGAAGUUGCUAACGUCCCGCUGCAUCACGGUGACUGCAAUCAGGUUUUAGCUGCACUCUUCUCCUCUAAGUGCUGUUUUGGGGCAGCGUGGUGGGGAGUCUGAAGAAAGCAGUU